UGGGGAAUAUUGGACAAUGGGCGAAAGCCUGAUCCAGCGACGUCACGUGAGUGAAGAAGGCCUUAGGGUUGUAAAGCUCUUUUAGUGGAGAAGAUUAUGACGGUAUCCACAGAAAAAGUCCCGGCUAAUUUCGUGCCAGCAGCCGCGGUAAUACGAAAGGGGCAAGCGUUACUCGGAAUUAUUGGGCGUAAAGCGUGCGCAGGCGGUUUAGUAAGUUGGAAGUGAAAGCCUUUGGCUCAACCAAAGAAUUGCUUUCAAAACUGCUAGACUAGAGUAUCAAAGGGGAUAGAGGAAUUCCUAAUGUAGGGGUGAAAUCCGUAGAUAUUAGGAGGAAUACCAAUGGCGAAGGCAUCUAUCUGGUUGAUUACUGACGCUGUUGCACGAAAGCGUGGGGAGCAAACAGG
rnacentral:rRNA from 1 species